AGUCAUUAUCACGCAACAGAAAUGGAGUUGAAAUUCCAUCCACCUUGCUGCAGCUACGUCGUUUCUGAUCCAAGAAAAGCCACAACCGUUGAUAAUCAUCAAUAAAAGAGUAACAAUGCUCAACUAAAUUCCAUUAUUUCUUAAAUUAUUCAGUAAAUUUUCAGUUACGCUGGAUCUUUUGGUUUAAAUAAUCAUUUUCUUUUUUCAUUUAUUGUUUCCGUUUGGUUUCCAAAAAAAUGCAGGAAAAAAAUGGAUGUAACAUUGUGAAUUCUUUUGUUCUAGUAAAUCGUAAUCUAGCUAUUUUUUUUAAGGCUAUCUGGAUUCGAUCUACUUUUGCUUUGGUUUAAGUUCGAUCUGACUUGAUUGGCAAUUGACUAAGAUUGUUUUAUCUGGCUAAUCAAUCUUUCUGAAUGGAGAUCUUUCUACCUAUAUUGAGGAUGCAUUAAUUAUUUUCUAAAGUUUGCUUGCAAGUUGCAAUGUUCCCCUUUGAUCAUAGUAUAUUGUUUAUAUACCUACAAAUAGCUUCACUAUCUCAACAUCUACCUGAGAAUUUGAUCCAAAGUAGCAAAUUCGAUCUUUUAGGUGUUAAAAAAUAGCUAGUUUAAGUGUGCGUGCUUACUUGUUUGGAACGUUUCCUGUUUGCGCUUAGUUAUCCAUAUUUAUCAAUGCUUUGGUUUGCUUGACAAAGGCAGAGCUAUGAAUUCACGAUGUUGAGUCUGUUAGGUUGAUUUCCAGCUUGAAGAAAAGGGCUUAGUUGCCUUAGAACGAGUUGAAUCUAUUUCCUUUAAUGGCGUAGUGGAAUGCACAUGUUCUCGGCGCUGAUUUAAACUUUUCUGACCUUGAAAUUACAGGUCUUAUGCAUUCAUAACCUUGAGCUUUCAUGAGAGUUUCUGUUGUUUAAUGCUAGUUGAACUUUUCUGAAACAAAAAUUUCAUGUCUUGUGCGUGCAUGGCCUUUGCCUUUUGUGAUAUGGUUUAAAUGUUUAAGUUGUUUAAACUGACUUAACUUUUUCUGGAACAGAAAUCGCACACCUUGUGCAUGCAUAGCCUUUACUUUCAUGAUAUUGAUGAAUAAUACCGAUCCACUUUCCUGGCAAUAAACUGCAUUUUUUGUGCUUUUGGAUCAAUAAGAAUAAACCAGACGUCUUGUGCAUGCAUGUCCUGUAUUUCCGCUCUCUGGCUAGUUGUAUCUCUUAUGCUUACGGAUUGUUGCUGUGUUGUACCCUAUAUAUGAUGGAUUCUUGAGGUCCGCAGAACAUAAUAGACUCUCUGAAUGUUUAUCUAUAAAUUGCUCUUUUACUUUUACUGAUGAUGGAAUAUAUAGGGUUAAUGCAUGAUACAUUUUUCCAUUUUCGCAUAUGGUCAUUGCUGUCUCUUGCUGGCUGAAUAAGUGAUCAUUUUACUUGUUUGAUUUCAAUUUGUUGUUAACUUGUAACCUGCCCUUUGAAAUCAAAUAUGUUGACAACUUGUCAUUCUUCCCUGUUGCUCCUGGGUCUUUUCUUUCACUAUUUAUUGGAGUUGCUUUACCUAUUGCAGAUCCUGAUCUUUUGUUUGCUUAUGCUUGAAAGAUGUUAAAAAUUUUCAAUUCUCCUUUAACUAUAACUCUGUCAAGCUGAGAUCUAAUGACUACAUGAUUUAAUCUGACAUUUUCCUAAAAUUGAAGGUGCUUUAUUUUGUGUGUGAAUUCAAGACUCUCUCGACCUUUGUGCCUUGAUCCAUUGCUGCGUACUGAUCUUUCUAUCGCCUAUCCAUUCAGUAAUAACAUAUUCACCCUGUUGGUUUGUUAACCCUUCAUUCUGUUGUGUUUAUUAUGUUAUCGGAAUCAACAAAAAGGGUAGUAGUGCUUAAAUAUCUCUCCUCUUAAAAUGUUUAAAUGCCUACCAAUUGCUCACUGCAAGUAUUGGGCUCAAGGUUCUAUAAUGACAAGCGAUUAUUAAUUGAAGACUACAAUUCAUUAUUAAUAUGUGAUUUUAGAUGAGGUGCAUGUUAAACCUAUAUGUGUGCAGCAUGCCUAUUAAAUUUUACAUGUGCACUAUUCGACUAAAUUUGAAACUAAUCACUCCAUAUUCAAUCUCCUGCUUCUGCUUAUAAUUUAUUUCUUUAUUUGUUAUCAAUUUGAAUGCAUUGUACGGAUAAGAUAGAAGAAACUAUAAAGUCAAGUUGAUAACGUGUGUGGCAUGUAGGCAAGGAAAAUAACAUGGAUGAAAAGGGCCACAAGACCCAAGAAUUUGCUUCAGCCCUGCAUGCUGUGUAUUGUUAUGACAGAAGCAAGGUUAUGGCUUCUCUACCAGGGACAUUCUGUACCGUAGAGAACAACAGUAAUGCAUGUCUGAGGCAUAGCAACAGACGUGCAGUCAUGUAGCUGUUCUGACCUCAACAGCCAGACUUAGAAUCCAUGUUGGGUGACUGCUGCAAUGAACUGCAAAACCUUCUUCUAUUGUAGGCUGUAGUGGCUGAUCACUGAACAGCAAUAGCAUCCCACCACACUGGAAAACCUUGUGGUCAGCUCCUCCAGAGGGCACCAGGAAAUGCUGCAGGGUCGUUGCUAAGGCUGGGCCAAUAAAAGUUUGCGCGUUAUAUACCUGUCUGCUUAACGGGCCUUCACAACGAAUUGAAUUGAUCUAACUGGGCCAGCCAGGUCAAAUUUGAGCUUUCGGGCCAUACCAAAAACACUAGUCCAAUCAGGUCUUAACUUUGAACCGAAGGAUAUGUGACGGUGAGUUUUUGGACCAUUUUUCUACAUAAUGAACAACGGAUUCGUGGGUUACGACUGGUCAUCUAUGAUCUCAGGUGAAAAAUCUUGAUUUUUGAGGUAAUAACUAAUCUUUUUACAUAAGUAAUUAAUGUGAAGAGAAAAAAAAAGGUUAAAAUAUAUUAUAUAAUAUAUAUAUUAUUUUCAAUUUUCUGCUCUCUCAUGAGACAUUCUGUAAAAGAGGUAAGUGGAAUAUUCGAAUUAUUUCAUUUACAAAUUGUUUGGCUCUUUGUGGUAGUAUUAGUUUUUUUUGUAUGACGUUAGCUUCUAACCAAUUCCUUGUC